rnacentral:rRNA from 1 species
GGAGGGUGCAAGCGUUGUUCGGAAUCAUUGGGCGUAAAGCGCGUGUAGGCGGGCCAAGUAAGUCUGAUGUGAAAGCCCGGGGGCUUAACCCCGGAAGUGCAUUGGAUACUGCUUGGCUAGAGGGCGAGAGGGGAAGCGGAAUUCCAGGUGUAGGGGUGAAAUCCGUAGAUAUCUGGAGGAACAUCGGUGGCGAAGGCGGCUUCCUGGCUCGCAUCUGACGCUGAGACGCGAAAGCGUGGGUAGCAAACAGGAUUAGAUACCCUGGUAGUCCACGCCCUAAACGAUGGAUACUAGUCGUCGGGUUUCCUAAUAGACUCGGUGACGUAGCUAACGCAUUAAGUAUCCCGCCUGGGGAUUACGAUCGCAAGAUUA